AUUGAACGCUGGCGGCAGGCCUAACACAUGCAAGUCGAGCGGAUGAAGGGAGCUUGCUCCUGGAUUCAGCGGCGGACGGGUGAGUAAUGCCUAGGAAUCUGCCUGGUAGUGGGGGAUAACGUCCGGAAACGGGCGCUAAUAUCGCAUACGUCCUGAGGGAGAAAGUGGGGGAUCUUCGGACCUCACGCUAUCAGAUGAGCCUAGGUCGGAUUAGCUGGUUGGUGGGGUAAAGGCCUACCAAGGCGACGAUCCGUAACUGGUCUGAGAGGAUGAUCAGUCACACUGGAACUGAGACACGGUCCAGACUCCUACGGGAGGCAGCAGUGGGGAAUAUUGGACAAAGGGCGAAAGCCUGAUCCAGCCAUGCCGCGUGUGUGAAGAAGGUCUUCGGAUUGUAAAGCACUUUAAGUUGGGAGGAAGGGCAGUAAGUUAAUACCUUGCUGUUUUGACGUUACCAACAGAAUAAGCACCGGCUAACUUCGUG
rnacentral:rRNA from 1 species